rnacentral:rRNA from 1 species
AGCAGCCGCGGUAAUUCCAGCUCCAAUAGCGUAUAUUAAAGUUGUUGCAGUUAAAAAGCUCGUAGUUGAAUUUCGGGAUCAGUGGGUUGGUCGUGCCACUGGUAUGAACUGGCUCUACUGGUUCCUCCUUCUUGAAGAACUGUAAUGUCAUUAAUUUGGUGUUGCAGGGAAACAGGACUGUUACUUUGAAAAAAUUAGAGUGUUUAAAGCAGGCUAACGCCUGAAUACAUUAGCAUGGAAUAAUGAAAUAGGACGUUUGAUCCUAUUUUGUGGUUUCUAGGAUUGACGUAAUGAUUAAUAGGGAUAGUUGGGGCAUUAGUAUUCAAUUGUCAGAGGUGAAA